AUUAAUCUAGUUUAUUUAAAACAAUAGCUUGUCGAGCUUUAGAAACAAAAAUUGUGGUUAAUG
rnacentral:tRNA from 1 species